CCUACGGGUGGCAGCAGUGGGGAAUAUUGCACAAUGGGGGAAACCCUGAUGCAGCGACGCCGCGUGAGUGAAGAAGUAAUUCGUUACGUAAAGCUCUAUCAGCAGGGAAGAAAAUGACGGUACCUGAGUAAGAAGCCCCGGCUAACUACGUGCCAGCAGCCGCGGUAAUACGUAGGGGGCAAGCGUUAUCCGGAUUUACUGGGUGUAAAGGGAGCGUAGACGGCGACGCAAGUCUGAAGUGAAAUGCCAGUGCUCAACACUGGAACUGCUUUGGAAACUGUGUAGCUAGAGUGCAGGAGAGGUAAGUGGAAGUCCUAGUGUAGCGGUGAAAUGCGUAGAUAUUAGGAGGAACACCAGUGGCGAAGGCGGCUUACUGGACUGUAACUGACGUUGAGGCUCGAAGGCGUGGGGAGCAAACAGGAUUAGAUACCCCAGUAGUC
rnacentral:rRNA from 1 species